UACAGAGGGGGCAAGCGUUGUUCGGAAUUACUGGGCGUAAAGGGCGCGUAGGCGGCCAACUAAGUCAGACGUGAAAUCCCCAGGCUCAACCUGGGAACUGCGUCUGAUACUGGAUGGCUUGAGUUCGGGAGAGGGAAGUGGAAUUCCAGGUGUAGCGGUGAAAUGCGUAGAUAUCUGGAGGAACACCGGUGGCGAAGGCGGCUUCCUGGACCGACACUGACGCUGAGGCGCGAAAGCGUGGGGAGCGAUCCGG
rnacentral:rRNA from 1 species